rnacentral:rRNA from 1 species
CCUACGGGAGGCAGCAGUGAGGAAUAUUGGUCAAUGGCCGAGAGGCUGAACCAGCCAAGUCGCGUGAGGGAAGACGGCCCUACGGGUUGUAAACCUCUUUUGUCGGGGAGCAAAGCGAACCACGUGUGGUUCAUUGAGAGUACCCGAAGAAAAAGCAUCGGCUAACUCCGUGCCAGCAGCCGCAGUAAUACGGAGGAUGCGAGCGUUAUCCGGAUUUAUUGGGUUUAAAGGGUGCGCAGGCGGAGGUGCAAGUCAGCGGUCAAAUUGCGGGGCUCAACCCCGUACUGCCGUUGAAACUGCAUCCCUUGAGUGCGCGAGAAGUAUGCGGAAUGCGUGGUGUAGCGGUGAAAUGCAUAGAUAUCACGCAGAACUCCGAUUGCGAAGGCAGCAUACCGGCGCCCGACUGACGCUGAGGCACGAAAGCGUGGGGAUCGAACAGGAUUAGAUACCCCGGUAGUC